CUAUGAAAGUCUUCUGACUAUUUCUAGCUUGAGAAUUUUUACUAAAUAUCUAUUAGAAUUAACUAUCACAAAAGACACACUUAAAGUAUUCUCUUAAUACCGAUUACAAGAUUGAGUGCUGAUAGCACUACUAUGAGUUUAGUAACACAAAUACUUAGCCUCAAAAAGAGGCUAUAGAUGGUGUUAUGUGAAAGGGUAAUUACUGAAUUGAUAGAUCAUCAACCUAAUUAAGUAUCGCCUACAUGCAUAUGUGCUAGCAGUGCAGGUAAAGCAGUUGUACCAAAUACUACUUAAGCAUCAUUGUGGAGAUCCAGUGUGUUACAGUAGUGUGCAAUGAAGUUUGAUAACCUUGUUUAAAAGAGUGUAAAGAAAUCCACCAAAAAAUUGAGCAGGGGGCCUUUGACACUGAUAAAUUUUCAAACACGAAUACAGUGCUGCUUUUGUUAUUUGCUAACCUAAUGGAUUUUAAGGCAAUUAAGUAAUAAAGUAAAAGGUCAGGUGACCUAGGCCCUAAUUAUAUGAACCUUAGUUUCUUUGUCUGCAUAAAGAAGUUAAAGUGUUUCUGAAUUGUGAAAGCUAAGAAAACAUGAUUGUAAAUUUUAUCAGCGAUAACAUCAAAGUUGAUAGAGAAAUUGAGUUCUUGACAGUUUAGUACUAUUAAGGUUUAGAUUAUCAGGAGCCAAGUUUCCCAUCUGCAGUGGAAGUAUGCUUUCAUACUUUCUAUGAAAGGUUUAUUUCAUUCUUUUUAUUAAAAAGCUCUAAAUACUUUAAUAAUGAAGCAUUUCAAUUUGAAGUAUUAUUUCUUUACAGCAAGCAUUUGAUUUUGAAAACCAGUUUUCUUUAAUCAGUGAGUUAAAAGGAAAAUGCUAUAGUGUGAAAGUAAUUUUCAUUACCCACGAUUUACGUAUAAGACAGCCUUCAUCUAAUUUGCCUGUGUCUUCUAUUAGGAAAAAAAAUACGCUCAGAAAA
rnacentral:lncRNA from 1 species